GGGCGAUUGGUCUAGUGGUAUGAUUCUCGUUUUGGGUACGAGAGGUCCCGGGUUCAAUCCCCGGAUCGCCCC
rnacentral:tRNA from 2 species